UAAUUCAUAUGUUGGAAAAUUAAGGUAAGAUAUACAUAUUGAUACAGGUUAAGUUGGGAAUUCUGGAAAAUGCUACUCUUAUUUCUGGACGUAAUUUGAGAUAAUAAGAAUCUAGAUAGUUUCUUAUGAUUUUAUUAUUCUUUGUUACCUCCUUACAUAUUAUCAAUCAAACUUACCAUUUUUAUAUUGAAUUUGUAAAUAUUCUGUGUCUGUAUGUAACAUAAAUCUGCUGUGUGGAUUGUUUCAAACAUGAUGAUUGCUGACAUGCAAUUUGCAAUGUAUUAUGACAACUCCCUGUAUUCUGUCAUGGACUAGCUGUUGGGUGAUUGUGAUGUGUUUUCUGUGAUAUUACUGUGGGGCAGAUGUGGCUCGACUCAAUUAAGCCUUAAUCCCUAAGUGGUUGGACUCAGUUUUACGGAUCUGUUUCCAUCUGGUUUAUGGUAUGGGAGAAACAUUGAAAGUAAAUGGCUUCAGGUCCUAGGUUAAAAUUUGUCAUCAUUAACUGGAAGAUGAUGCAAAUUUGUUAGUUUUAUGUCUAAGUUAUAAUGAUACUGUAGCUAUAUCAGGAAACGAAAAUUGGCCCACCAUGGAUUAUAUUUAUGGACACUUGUGGCACCUACAUGUGAUUUGCUGUUUCUUUGUAGUCCAUGGUGGGCUAGGUUCAUGCAAGAUUUUCUUUGUAGUUAUGGUGGACUAGUUGCUUUGGUAGCAAUGCCUAGUUUUGGUGCCGUAGAACUAAUGCUAUGACCUGUUCAUGGUCUAAAUCACCAUGGUGGUUGGAUUUAGCAAAUCCUAGUUGUACAAAUUAGUAUGUAGUUGACAACAAAAGUGCAAUUAUUCUGUUUCUGUGCUCAUCUUUUAUAUUUUGGGUGAGAAUGAGGUGGGGGAGCAUUGUUGGAGCCUUUUUUACUGUAAUAAAAAAAAUUUCUAAUGUUCCAUCAAAUUUUACAGUUCGGACUUUCUUGGCACCAAC
rnacentral:misc_RNA from 1 species